CCCACCCCCGCAGCUCCUCCAGCUGCAAGUGUCUGAGCCGAGUCCCGGGUGCACGUCCCACGGCUCAGGGAAGCGCACCGCGCGCGGGGACCGGCUCCGUUCCUUUCCCUGCGGUAAGAGCCUCGCCUCGGCCCCCCAAGCGACCCGCGGCUGACAGAGCCCAACUCUUCGCGGCGGCAGUGGGCGCCUCCGGAGAAGCCCCGGGCCGACCGCGGCCUCAGGCGGGGCGCGGGGCCUGGGCGGACGAGCCACGCAGGUUCCCGGGAGAGAUUACCUGAAAAGGAUCAUCUAUGACCCCAAUGAAGAGGCUAGAGUCUGUACAGAAUAUUCCAGGCUAGUUGUUGGGUUAACUGCCUAAGAAA